GCCCGGUUCGCCGGGCGAGUAAAGUGGCGCACGGGUGAGUAACGCGUGGAUAAUCUACCUCUAUCUGGGGGAUAACCCAUCGAAAGGUGGGCUAAUACCGCAUAUUCCGGCAGUUUUUCGAAUCAGUCGGUAAAGGUGGCCUCUUGAUCAAAGCUACCGGGUGGAGAUGAGUCCGCGUCCCAUUAGCUAGUUGGUAGGGUAAUGGCCUACCAAGGCGACGAUGGGUAGCUGGUCUGAGAGGACGAUCAGCCACACUGGAACUGGAACACGGUCCAGACUCCUACGGGAGGCAGCAGUGAGGAAUAUUGCGCAAUGGGGGAAACCCUGACGCAGCGAUGCCGCGUGGGUGAAGAAGGCCUUCGGGUCGUAAAGCCCUGUCAAGUGGGAAGAACAGCAGCGGGACGAAUAAUCCCGUUGUGUGACGGUACCACUGAAGGAAGCACCGGCUAACUCCGUGCCAGCAGCCGCGGUAAGACGGAGGGUGCAAGCGUUAUUCGGAUUUAUUGGGCGUAAAGAGCGUGUAGGCGGCCGGUCAAGCCAGAUGUGAAAGCCCAGGGCUUAACCCUGGAAGUGCAUUUGGAACUGGUUGGCUUGAGUUCG
rnacentral:rRNA from 1 species